rnacentral:rRNA from 1 species
UUGUUCGCAUGAACAACGCUUAAAAGAUGGCUUCUCGCUAUCACUUCUGGAUGGACCUGCGGUGCAUUAGCUUGUUGGUGGGGUAACGGCCUACCAAGGCGAUGAUGCAUAGCCGAGUUGAGAGACUGAUCGGCCACAAUGGGACUGAGACACGGCCCAUACUCCUACGGGAGGCAGCAGUAGGGAAUCUUCCACAAUGGGCGCAAGCCUGAUGGAGCAACACCGCGUGAGUGAAGAAGGGUUUCGGCUCGUAAAGCUCUGUUGUUAAAGAAGAACACGUAUGAGAGUAACUGUUCAUACGUUGACGGUAUUUAA